rnacentral:tRNA from 1 species
GGAGAGAUGCCGGAGCGGUCGAACGGGGUGGUCUCGAAAACCAUUGAUGAUUUUUUAAUCAUCCCAGGGUUCGAAUCCCUGUCUCUCCG